GCCAGGCACAGUGGUGCAUGCCUGUAAUCCCAGUGGCUUGGGAGGCUGAGGCAGGAGGAUUGUGAGCACUUUAGCAAGGCCUGAAGCAACUCAGCGAUUCCCUGUCUCUA
rnacentral:sRNA from 1 species